GCGUCACAAACACCGAACGACCGCGUCGUUGGCACUGCAAAGGCUCCUUUGACGCGACGACCACGCCUUUUUCAGCAGUUUGCGUCUGUCAACCGCUCGUUCACGUUUCGGUUUUCCAUGUCAAACGCACAUACUAGGUAUAACGUAAAGUACAAUACAGCGUUAUAAUAAUAUAUUGUACUUUGUUAUUUUUUUUUUUAUCGACGUGUGCGCGUUCACGUUGGAAACGCUGAAAAAUUACUUAUCAAACCCAACACGGAUGUUGCAUAAUUUUGGUUAGACAUGUGCACGCGAUUUUUUGUUGUACCGAUAUCUGCGGUGCGCUACUUGACGGUGUACGGUUUCUCGUUGCGUGAAUUUGUUACCGAAAGGUCAAAGGAUAUCGACAAACGGCGGCUACAACGCUAAUGAGCCAACAGAGAUCCAAGUUCGAUUUUUUCGCUCGACACGUAGUCAUGUCGUAAUGAUAUAACUGCGAGUCGUCCGAAAACUCGGAUAGUGUUCUGUAUGUAAAUCAUCGUUUUAAACAACGUCUGGCGGCGGCUUCAGCACAUUUUUGCCGGGCGUUCUUCUGUCGAAACGUUGUAUAAGUUUUGACAUUAACCAUAUAAUGAUUUCUACGAAAUUCACCUGUCUGCUGGUUUUUCGAAAUCGGAAGAUCCGUUUGAGCUGAUACAUUUGGAUUUUUAUCUUUACAGGCCACGAUCGCCUUCUCGGAAUUAUGUUUUUAUCUAUGACAAUCGCGUGUACAUAUUAUGUUAAAAAAAAAAAACUGUAUUCAUUUUAACAGCUGUUAACACACGUGUAUUUAGCCCAUUAGAGACGCCAAGGGUGGGCAAUAGCCCUCCGUAAAAUCGUCAGGUCCCCGCUUUGGCCCACCCCGACUUCUCUAACCUCUCAAAUAAAUACCUGUACCACCUGUAUAAAUAAUAACAUAUGAUAUUAUAUUAUCAUUAUUUAUAUUUAUAAACUUCAUAUCCAUUUUUUGUUAAAAAAUAAAUAAAUAUACUUAUAAGUAUAAUAUAGAUCAGGUCUUAUUUAUAAAUAGAGAAAGAUAGACAGUUAUUUAAGUAUUGCACUAAACCACAAUUAUACCUGUGAAUAUAACCUAAAAAAUAUUAUAGUUUAUAAUAAUUAUUAUUUCAUUUAUGAUUUUUUACUUUUAUUUAUUUUAUACUUAAGUAUGUUUUUUGUGUUAUUAACACUGAUAUUUUUAUUUAUUCGUAUGGCAAUAUAUAAAAAAAUCCCAAAACACUGAGAUAACGGGCCCAUAAUUGUUUGGGAGAGAGUGAAGUUUCCCCUCGGCUUAUUUUUAAGAAUAACUAAUUUUGGUUCGCCCCAAAAUUUGUACUACCGUUCAAAUACCGUAUUUGUCUACCUCUAGGAUAAAUGUUUGAUGCCGUGACAUCUAUAAUGUUUUUAAAUAACAUGUCGUGCUUGUUCUCUUAUACCAAUAUAGUAUGAUUAAUUUUUUUAAAUGUAGUAAGUGUCCAUUUAAACCAUUCGACGUUUUUUAUAAUUAAAUGGUAACUAAUUGCAUACAUAAAUACAUUGUUUUUUAACUUCUGUUGUUUUUAAAAAUUAUUACAUUUGUGGCACUUAUUAUGUAUUAACCAUUA